rnacentral:sRNA from 1 species
UUGACAGCCCUGGGAGACUGAAAGCCCUCUGUUUAUCCCCAGUACACAUACAGCACAACUAGUGGAAAAAGCAACUUUCCCUGAGCUACCCUGCCGGUGUGUUUCAGCCCCGAUGCAGAGGACCGGGGGGAAACCUCCAGAGGUUAUUGUGGUGGUCCAGCCUCUGCGGUCCUUUGUCUUUGCCAAAG